UAAUACGUAGGUGACAAGCGUUGUCCGGAUUUACUGGGCGUAAAGAGCGCGCAGGCGGUCGUUCAAGUCGAGUGUGAAAGCCCCCGGCUCAACUGGGGAGGGUCAUUCGAUACUGAUCGACUCGAAGGCAGGAGAGGGUAGUGGAAUUCCCGGUGUAGUGGUGAAAUGCGUAGAUAUCGGGAGGAACACCAGUGGCGAAGGCGACUACCUGGCCUGUUCUUGACGCUGAGGCGCGAAAGCUAGGGGAGCAAACGGGAUUAGAUACCCCGGUAGUCCUGGCCCUAAACGAUGAGAACUAGGUAGUGGACUUACAUGGGUUCACUGUCGAAGCAAAAGUGCUAAGUUCUCCGCCUGGGGAGUAUGGUCGCAAGGCUG
rnacentral:rRNA from 1 species